rnacentral:rRNA from 1 species
GAUGAACGCUGGCGGCGUGCCUAAUACAUGCAAGUCGAGCGAACAGACGAGGAGCUUGCUCCUCUGACGUUAGCGGCGGACGGGUGAGUAACACGUGGAUAACCUACCUAUAAGACUGGGAUAACUUCGGGAAACCGGAGCUAAUACCGGAUAAUAUAUUGAACCGCAUGGUUCAAUAGUGAAAGACGGUUUUGCUGUCACUUAUAGAUGGAUCCGCGCCGCAUUAGCUAGUUGGUAAGGUAACGGCUUACCAAGGCGACGAUGCGUAGCCGACCUGAGAGGGUGAUCGGCCACACUGGAACUGAGACACGGUCCAGACUCCUACGGGAGGCAGCAGUAGGGAAUCUUCCGCAAUGGGCGAAAGCCUGACGGAGCAACGCCGCGUGAGUGAUGAAGGUCUUCGGAUCGUAAAACUCUGUUAUUAGCGAAGAACAAAUGUGUAAGUAACUAUGCACGUCUUGACGGUACCUAAUCAGAAAGCCACGGCUAACUACGUG